rnacentral:rRNA from 1 species
GAUGAACGCUAGCUACAGGCUUAACACAUGCAAGUCGAGGGGCAGCAUUUCAGUUUGCUUGCAAACUGGAGAUGGCGACCGGCGCACGGGUGAGUAACACGUAUCCAACCUGCCGAUAACUCGGGGAUAGCCUUUCGAAAGAAAGAUUAAUACCCGAUGGUAUAAUCAGACCGCAUGGUCUUGUUAUUAAAGAAUUUCGGUUAUCGAUGGGGAUGCGUUCCAUUAGGCAGUUGGUGAGGUAACGGCUCACCAAACCUUCGAUGGAUAGGGGUUCUGAGAGGAAGGUCCCCCACAUUGGAACUGAGACACGGUCCAAACUCCUACGGGAGGCAGCAGUGAGGAAUAUUGGUCAAUGGGCGCAGGCCUGAACCAGCCAAGUAGCGUGAAGGAUGACUGCCCUAUGGGUUGUAAACUUCUUUUAUAUGGGAAUAAAGUUUUCCACGUGUGGAAUUUUGUAUGUACCAUAUGAAUAAGGAUCGGCUAACUCCGUGCCAGCAGCCGCGGUAAUACGGAGGAUCCGAGCGUUAUCCGGAUUUAUUGGGUUUAAAGGGAGCGUAGGUGGACAGUUAAGUCAGUUGUGAAAGUUUGCGGCUCAACCGUAAAAUUGCAGUUGAUACUGGCUGUCUUGAGUACAGUAGAGGUGGGCGGAAUUCGUGGUGUAGCGGUGAAAUGCUUAGAUAUCACGAAGAACUCCGAUUGCGAAGGCAGCUCACUGGACUGCAACUGACACUGAUGCUCGAAAGUGUGGGUAUCAAACAGGAUUAGAUACCCUGGUAGUCCACACAGUAAACGAUGAAUACUCGCUGUUUGCGAUAUACAGUAAGCGGCCAAGCGAAAGCAUUAAGUAUUCCACCUGGGGAGUACGCCGGCAACGGUGAAACUCAAAGGAAUUGACGGGGGCCCGCACAAGCGGAGGAACAUGUGGUUUAAUUCGAUGAUACGCGAGGAACCUUACCCGGGCUUAAAUUGCAUUUGAAUAUAUUGGAAACAGUAUAGCCGUAAGGCAAAUGUGAAGGUGCUGCAUGGUUGUCGUCAGCUCGUGCCGUGAGGUGUCGGCUUAAGUGCCAUAAGGAGCGCAACCCUUAUCUUUAGUUACUAACAGGUCAUGCUGAGGACUCUAGAGAGACUGCCGUCGUAAGAUGUGAGGAAGGUGGGGAUGACGUCAAAUCAGCACGGCCCUUACGUCCGGGGCUACACACGUGUUACAAUGGGGGGUACAGAAGGCAGCUACCUGGUGACAGGAUGCUAAUCCCAAAAGCCUCUCUCAGUUCGGAUCGAAGUCUGCAACCCGACUUCGUGAAGCUGGAUUCGCUAGUAAUCGCGCAUCAGCCAUGGCGCGGUGAAUACGUUCCCGGGCCUUGUACACACCGCCCGUCAAGCCAUGAAAGCCGGGGGUACAUGAAGUACGUAACCGCAAGGAGCGUCCUAGGGUA